rnacentral:rRNA from 1 species
GAUCCUGGCUCAGGAUGGACGCUGGCGGCAUGCCUAAUACAUGCAAGUCGAACGGACCGAAGGGAAAGCUUGCUUUUCCUGAAGUCAGUGGCGAACGGGUGAGUAACACGUAGGUAACCUGCCCAUGUGCCCGGGACAACGCCUGGAAACGGGUGCUAAAACCGGAUAGGUAAAGAGAUCGCAUGAACUUUCUAUUAAAGGGGCUACGGCCCUGAACAUGGAUGGAACUGCGGUGCAUUAGCUAGUUGGUGAGG